rnacentral:rRNA from 1 species
UCGAGUGCGCGCCUGUAGCAAUACAGGUGGCGCACGGCGCACGGGUGCGUAACACGUGGGUAACCUGCCCUUUAGUGGGGAAUAACCUCGCGAAAGCGAGGCUAAUUCCGCAUAAGAUCCGCAAGGAUGAAAGCCGAAAGGCGCUGAUGGAGGGGCCCGCGCACGAUUAGCUAGUUGGUGAGGUAAUGGCUCACCAAGGCUAUGAUCGUUAGCUGGUCUGAGAGGAUGGCCAGCCACACUGGAACUGAGACACGGUCCAGACUCCUACGGGAGGCAGCAGUGGGGAAUCUUGCACAAUGGGCGAAAGCCUGAUGCAGCGACGCCGCGUGGGGGAUGAAGCUUCUCGGAGUGUAAACCCCUUUCGACCCGGACGAAUACCUCGCAAGAGGGGUGACGGUACGGGUAUAAGAAGCCCCGGCUAACUACGUGCCAGCAGCCGCGGUAAGACUUAUGGGGCCAGCGUUGUUCGGAAUUACUGGGUGUAAAGGGUUCGUAUGCGGUGUGGCAAGUCGGGAGUGAAAUUUCUGGGCUCAACUCAGAGACUGCUUCCGAAACUGCUGUGCUGGAGUGUGGGAGAGGCGCGUGGAAUUGCAGGUGUAGCGGUGAAAUGCGUAGAUAUCUGCAGGAACACCCGUGGCGAAAGCGGCGCGCUGGACCACUACUGACGCUGAGGAACGAAAGCUAGGGGAGCAAACAGGAUUAGAUACCCUGGUAGUCCUAGCCCUAAACGAUCAGGACUUGGGGUGCCACCCGUUCGGGUGUCGUCCCGGAGCUAACGCGUUAAGUCCUGCACCUGGGGAGUACGGUCGCAAGACUGAAACUCAAAGGAAUUGACGGGGGCCCGCACAAGCGGUGGAACAUGUGGUUCAAUUC